rnacentral:rRNA from 1 species
CCUACGGGCGUCAGCAGUGGGGAAUAUUGCACAAUGGGGGAAACCCUGAUGCAGCGACGCCGCGUGAGUGAAGAAGUAAUUCGUUAUGUAAAGCUCUAUCAGCAGGGAAGAAAAUGACGGUACCUGAGUAAGAAGCACCGGCUAACUACGUGCCAGCAGCCGCGGUAAUACGUAGGGGGCAAGCGUUAUCCGGAUUUACUGGGUGUAAAGGGAGCGUAGACGGCAGUGCAAGUCUGGAGUGAAAGGCGGGGGCUCAACCCCCGGACUGCUCUGGAAACUGUACGGCUGGAGUGCAGGUGUGGUAAGUGGAAUGUCUGGGGUAGCGGUGAAAUGCGUAGAUAUUAGACGGAACACCAGUGGCGAAGGCGGCUUACUGGACUAUAACUGACGUUGAGGCUCGAAAGCGUGGGGAGCAAACAGGAUUAGAUACCCGGGUAGUC